UUUAACUGAAGAGUUUGAUCAUGGCUCAGAUUGAACGCUGGCGGCAGGCUUAACACAUGCAAGUCGAGCGGGGGAAGGUAGCUUGCUACCGGACCUAGCGGCGGACGGGUGAGUAAUGCUUAGGAAUCUGCCUAUUAGUGGGGGACAACAUCUCGAAAGGGAUGCUAAUACCGCAUACGUCCUACGGGAGAAAGCAGGGGAUCUUC
rnacentral:rRNA from 1 species